UGCGGAAUAAGGGCAGUCGCCUGUGGUUCAGUUUGAACCAGGGAGGAAAGUCCGGACACCAGGGAUAAGGAGACCAGAGAAAUCUGGGCUAUGUAGAAGUUUACUUCUACUUCGACGGAAAGUGCCACAGAAAAAAUACCGCCAAAGCAUAAUCGAAGAUUAUGUGCAGUUUUCGUAGAAAGCUCAUUGGUAAGGGUGAAAUGGUAGGGUAAGAGCCUACCGCAUUUUCAGAGAUGAAAAUGGCAGGGUAAACCCUCUCCGGUGAAAUUUCAAGCAGCUCUGUGAAAGGUCCCGAGCUUAGAAUACUUUGUAUGUUGAGCGCAGAGCGGGUAGAAAGAAAAGAUCGACGGGUAUAACCGGUAGACAAGAUAAAUGACUGCCACCCUAAAGGUUCAUUGAAUCUUUUGGGUACAGAAUCUGGCUUAUCUUAUUCCGCAUUUU
rnacentral:RNase_P_RNA from 1 species